GAUGAACGCUGGCGGCGUGCCUAAUACAUGCAAGUCGAGCGAACGGACGAGAAGCUUGCUUUUCUGAUGUUAGCGGCGGACGGGUGAGUAACACGUGGAUAACCUACCUAUAAGACUGGGAUAACUUCGGGAAACCGGAGCUAAUACCGGAUAAUAUUUUGAACCGCAUGGUUCAAAAGUGAAAGACGGUCUUGCUGUCACUUAUAGAUGGAUCCGCGCUGCAUUAGCUAGUUGGUAAGGUAACGGCUUACCAAGGCAACGAUGCAUAGCCGACCUGAGAGGGUGAUAGGCCACACUGGAACUGAGACAAGGUCCAGACUCCUACGGGAGGCAGCAGUAGGGAAUCUUCCGCAAUGGGCGAAAGCCUGACGGAGCAAAGCCGCGUGAGUGAUGAAGGUCUUCGGAUCGUAAAACUCUGUUAUUAGGGAAGAACAUAUGUGUAAGUAACUGUGCACAUCUUGACGGUACCUAAUCAGAAAGCCACGGCUAACUACGUG
rnacentral:rRNA from 1 species